UACAGAGGUCUCAAGCGUUGUUCGGAUUCAUUGGGCGUAAAGGGUGCGUAGGCGGCGCGGUAAGUCGGGUGUGAAAUCUCGGAGCUCAACUCCGAAACUGCAUUCGAUACUGCCGUGCUUGAGGACUGGAGAGGAGACUGGAAUUUACGGUGUAGCGGUGAAAUGCGUAGAUAUCGUAAGGAAGACCAGUGGCGAAGGCGGGUCUCUGGACAGUUCCUGACGCUGAUGCACGAAGGUCAGGGGAGCAAACGGG
rnacentral:rRNA from 1 species